rnacentral:lncRNA from 1 species
UAACUUUACAAGUUCUAGAAUUGGUGAAUGAAUGAGCAUUAAGCAUUUUCUUUCGACUAGGCCCAGACUACACAUUUUGAAAUAUAUUAUUUCAGUUAAUCAUCAAACAACCCCAAAUAUACAUAUUAUAACUCCCAUUUUACAGAUGAGAAAAUAGGCUAAGAGAAGUUAAGUGAUUUACCUAAGGAUAUUCCAGGUGGAGGACAACAAGUUGAGAGGCAAAUUUGGAAUUGUUGGAGCAUAGAGUGCUGGGAAGAAGGCAGGUGGAGGAGGUUCAGCAAAAUAGAUCUGGAAAGACAAGCAAGGGCUGUAAUAGGAAAC